rnacentral:rRNA from 1 species
GAUGAACGCUGGCGGCGUGCCUAAUACAUGCAAGUCGAGCGAACAGACGAGGAGCUUGCUCCUCUGACGUUAGCGGCGGACGGGUGAGUAACACGUGGAUAACCUACCUAUAAGACUGGGAUAACUUCGGGAAACCGGAGCUAAUACCGGAUAAUAUAUUGAACCGCAUGGUUCAAUAGUGAAAGACGGUUUUGCUGUCACUUAUAGAUGGAUCCGCGCCGCAUUAGCUAGUUGGUAAGGUAACGGCUUACCAAGGCAACGAUGCGUAGCCGACCUGAGAGGGUGGUCGGCCACACUGGAACUGAGACACGGCCCAGACUCCUACGGGAGGCAGCAGUAGGGAAUCUUCCGCAAUGGGCGAAAGCCUGACGGAGCAAAGCCGCGUGAGUGAUGAAGGUCUUCGGAUCGUAAAACUCUGUUAUUAGUGAAGAACAAAUGUGUAAGUAACUAUGCACGUCUUGACGGUACCUAAUCAGAAAGCCACGGCUAACUACGUG